rnacentral:lncRNA from 1 species
AUGGUCAGGAAAGAAAAGAAAGUUUCCGCAGACUAUUCCAAAACAUUGUAUUUUUUACAGAAGAGCCUCAGAAGCUGCUGCCUUCAGUGUAACCAGAGUUCAGACAGUGAUUCUCAUCAUUUUGAGCAGGUAGAAAUGAUCACCAAGCCUGAUGAAUGGAUUAUUCUCUACAUCUGUUGGUGUGUUGCUCACCUCCAUGAGGUGAGCGUCCUUCUAUCCAUCUUACAGACGAGGAAGGUGGAGUGGAGGGAUGUUAGUGACAUGACCAGAAUCACACGGCUGAUAUAGGAUGGGCUGAGAUCCAAACCCUGAUAAACAGCUCCAAAGCCCAUGUUCUCACCAAGCAAACAAAGAAGGUAGCAAGAGGACUAAAAAGAAAGAAAGAUCUAAAAAUGGGUAAGAAAGAAAAAGCAGCAUUUCUCGCCCUCUCCGCUUGUGCUCCCUGCAGCUCCAGUUGCAGAGCUUUCAAUCUUUCCCUUCCUUCGUGUCAGCUGUCAGAAUCUUCCCUGUUUGCUGUCCAAGAAUCGCCACCCAUCUGUCUUGUCUCUUCUCUUACUGGGUUAGGCUGGAAUUCACCUUCGCCGACAUCUCCUCAUUCCGCUUUGGGGCUGCUGACUCAGGAUCGUGCACAUGUCUGAAAGAGAAUUCCCCCAGGAAGAGCCAGGGCAUGCAUCUUGCCACAGGAACACACAUUCCUGCUGUUUGCACAGCUGUAUUUGUUGCUCUUAAUGGUAGAGGAGGGAGGCUCAAAAGACACUUGGUUUUAGAAAACUUUUCAUGGUCUAGCUAGAAGAAAUUAAACUAAGGGCCAGAGGUUUCCCACUGCUUUUCUAGCGGCCAAGAUUCUUUUCUUUUUGAAUUCUCUCUUGUCAGUGAGGAAGCAUUAUAGCAACUGCUAUACAAAUGUUACCAUUUAUUUUUGAGAUUUGCCUGAAGGAAGUUUCUCCCUAAAGAAAUUAUUUUUUUUUCUUCCUCAAAAAUCUUUGAGUUCUCUUUCUAAAAGGAGUAUUUAUGACUUUUCCUUGACCAGAACUAGGUCAUUGUGUUCAGUGACCACAUCGCUCACCAAUGCUGAACCGUCCUCUUCCUCUGCCUCUCUCAACAAUCUGGGUCUGUUUUUCAAUUUAAAGCAACUGUUCAUGGAAAUCCUGCCAUGAAGGAAAAUAUUGUGAGUCAAUACAUUUUGGGCCGAGUCCAAGCCUCAGAUAACGAAAUCAGUAGUAGUACUUGUGCAAGAAGUAAUUUGCCUCCUGAUAGUAAUAAAUCUGUUAUUUGUAUGUCA